GUUGUUGCAGUUAAAAAGCUCGUAGUUGGAUUUCUGGUACAACGCGCCUGGCCCGCUUUUAGUGAGUGCCGGUGCGCGUUUGCCAUCCUUCUAGAAAACGUUUCUACCUGGGCAACCGGGCCGGACUCGCGAUCUAGAUCUUUUACUUUGAAAAAAUUAGAGUGUUUAAAGCAGGCUUUUGCUGUGAAUACAUUAGCAUGGAAUAAUAAUCUAGGACUUCGGUUCUAUUUUGUUGGUUUCUAGUACUGAAGUAAUGAUUGAUAGGGAUAGUUGGGGGUGCUAGUAUUGGCCGGCCAGAGGUGAAAUUCUUGGAUUCGGUCAAGACUAACUUAUGCGAAAGCAUUCACCAAGGAUGUCUUCUUUAAUCAAGAACGAAAGUUGGGGGAUCGAAGACGAUCAGAUACCGUCGUAGUCUCAACCAUAAACUAUGCCAACUAGGGAUGGGUGAACGUUGUUUUUUUGACUUCAUCUGCACCUUAUGAGAAAUCAAAGUCUUUGGGUUCCGGGGGGAGUAUGGUCGCAAGGCUGAAACUUAAAGGAAUUGACGGAAGGGCACCACCAGGAGUGGAGCCUGCGGCUUAAUUUGACUCAACACGGGAAAACUUACCAGGUCCGGACAUAGUGAGGAUUGACAGAUUGAAGAUCUUUCUUGAUUCUAUGGGUGGUGGUGCAUGGCC
rnacentral:rRNA from 1 species